rnacentral:misc_RNA from 1 species
UGGUGUCAAGAGCUUCAUCUG